rnacentral:tRNA from 2 species
GCGGAAGUAGCUCAGUCGGUAGAGCGCAACCUUGCCAAGGUUGAGGUCGCGGGUUCGAGCCCCGUCUUCCGCU